rnacentral:rRNA from 1 species
UCCUAGAGACCGGCGCACGGGUGCGUAACGCGUAUGCAAUCUACCUUGUACAGGGGAAUAGCCCAGAGAAAUUUGGAUUAAUGCCCCAUAGUAUUAUUAAAUGGCAUCCUUUAAUAAUUAAAGUUCCAACGGUACAAGAUGAGCAUGCGUCCUAUUAGUUAGUUGGUGUGGUAACGGCAUACCAAGACGAUGAUAGGUAGGGGUCCUGAGAGGGAGAUCCCCCACACUGGUACUGAGACACGGACCAGACUCCUACGGGAGGCAGCAGUGAGGAAUAUUGGACAAUGGGCGCAAGCCUGAUCCAGCCAUGCCGCGUGCAGGAAGACGGUCCUAUGGAUUGUAAACUGCUUUUAUACAGGAAGAAACACUGGUUCGUGAACCAGCUUGACGGUACUGUAAGAAUAAGGAUCGGCUAACUCCGUGCCAGCAGCCGCGGUAAUACGGAGGAUCCAAGCGUUAUCCGGAAUCAUUGGGUUUAAAGGGUCCGUAGGCGGCCUUAUAAGUCAGUGGUGAAAUCUCCUAGCUCAACUAGGAAAUGGCCAUUGAUACUGUAGGGCUUGAAUUAUUGUGAAGUAACUAGAAUAUGUAGUGUAGCGGUGAAAUGCUUAGAUAUUACAUGGAAUACCAAUUGCGAAGGCAGGUUGCUAACAAUAUAUUGACGCUGAUGGACGAAAGCGUGGGGAGCGAACAGGAUUAGAUACCCUGGUAGUCCACGCCGUANACGAUGGAUACUAGCUGUUUGGAGCAAUCUGAGUGGCUAAGCGAAAGUGAUAAGUAUCCCACCUGGGGAGUACGAACGCA